GGGCCAGGCUCUCUGGCAGUGCCCUGGGUGCUUUCCCAGUGCCAUUAACACUUUCCUGGUGGCAGAAUCCAGAACACCAGGCACACCCGCAGCUCCACAGUGGACACCCCGGGGUAGAGGGGCGGGCUGUGCUCACCCAGAGCUCCUCCAAGCUCAGGAUCCAUGGCAGGGUCCUGCCUCCCCAAAAACCACCCCGGGUUUGUGUUUCUCCCUUCCCCACAGACCUCCAUGUUCCGAAUUCUGCCGUGGAACAGCAAUGUGAGCACRGUGGCCGAGGACAGUGCCACCAACAACAACCUGCAGAACCACCAGCGUGACAUAGAGACACCACUGGUGACACCACCGAGUGAAAGCUGUAGAAGGAAACUGGUUCCAGCGCCGGGGAAGGACCCCACUCAAGGUAAGUCCUGGUGCCCRGGGGCCAUGCUGGGGACUCAGACUCCUGUCCCAGUGCCCUGAGCUCUCCCCUUUCCCCCCACAGCACUACGGGACACGUUUUACCCCUUGGCUGAGAAGAUCCCCAUGAACGACUGGAAGAGGUUUGGGCGCAGGCUGUGCCUGGAGGAGAACGACAUCGUCAUGGUCAUGUCCAACGACGCCUUCUACGACAUGCUCUACAAAUGGCACAGCAGGGAGGGCUCCAAGGCCUCCCUCAACACUCUGCUGGACACCYUGGACCAGCUGCACCUCGGAGGGGUGGCCGAGAAAAUCAUCUCCAUGGUGCUCCAGAACGGAACUUACCAGUACGAGACCAGCUGAAAAUGGGAGCUGCACGUCCUUUGAGCUUAAAGCUGUUAAAUACCUCUGAGAACACUUGAAUUUUUAUGUCUCCUGUAGCUCCUCUCCUUCUUGAAGCCUUCACAAGAGUUCAGCUGAGCCAGGAGGAGGAGCUGAUCCUUCAGUGAAGGACAAGCCUCAGGGUCCUCUCUCUGCUGGAAUUUUACAGGUUCGACGUUGGUGCUUCCUCGUGGAAUCCAAGCUGGUUCCUUGAUUCCCACAAGCUCAAUGUGAACAGUUAUAAAUAAUCUCUUACUGAGAAGCACUGGUACUACCCUGGAGACCUCCAGGAUCAGGGCAGAGAAGGGCUUUUUGAAGGGAUUUUUUUUUUGGCAUCCCUUGUGCUUUUUAUUUUCGACUGGAUCAUCCUCGUUCCUCGAAGGAUUCCUGGCCUUGUGACGUGGCUUCUGCUUCUAGAACAAAUCUAAGUGAGCUUCAUCCUGCAUGCUUGGUGGCUCUGCAAGCUCAGCUGGGGCCCUCGGGUUACUUUCUGGGGGCGACUGGAUGUUUACUAAGUGUUUUUUUACAUAGUUCUGCUUGUUCUUAGAAACCAGUUUGAAACUGGACUCACAGGAGGGAAAGUGGGGGAACAGUUGAAUUGCACUGUGAUCACUGGGGUCAGCCUGGGGAAAAGGGACAGCACAGGCAGGGCUCACCUGUCCCCUGCCAGGAGCAGGGACAUCUUCUCCACUCCACCAGCUUGCUCCAAGCUCCCCCUCCCCGACCUUGAAUAUUUGCCAGGAUGGGGCUGCUUGUCUGGGCAGCCCUUUUGUGUCAGUGUUUACCCAUCCUCGUUGUGAAAUUGUCCUUCCUGUAACAGCUGAUCCAAUGUGACCCUGAUUUGGGAUUGAACCCAUCCCCAUGUCCUGGCACUCCAAGCCUUUAUUCCCAGUCCUUUUCCAGCUCUCCUGGAAGCCUCUUCAGGCCCUGGAAAGGGUUUGAAAUGUCCCAGAGGUUUCUCCUCCUCUCCAGGCUGGACAAUCCCAGCUCUGGAUUUGCUCCAACACCUCCACACCUUUGUGAUGUUGGAGACCCCAGAGGUGAAGAGAAGGGGAAAUAAAAUCCCCUGAGUGUCCCUGCAGGUGCCAGGUCACUCCUGUCCCCGUGGGGUGGCCGUGCUGUCCCCGUGUCCCCAGGCAGGGUGGAUGCACUGAGGUGACUCUGGGGUGCUCACUGCCCAUCCCAGCUCCUCAAACAACUCACAAAGAGCUCAGGGACAACCCAGAGCUGGGAAAAAAAAAAACAACAAACAAAAAAAAACCAGCUGGGGAAAAAAAUAAAACUUCCUGCAUUACUUGAGCUGCCACCCCAGUCCACCAGGACCUUCCCCAGUGUGUUGGGAGGGUGCUCAGCACCCUUCUUGCUGCUCCUUUUUUUCUGUCCCCACCCUCCAAACACUUCAUUAUUUCAACAAGCAGGAUUUUUUUUUUUGUACUUAUUUAUUUACCAAUUGUAAACAUUACAUAUAUUUUUAACUUAAAAGCUAUAUAAAAAUAUUGGAUUUUUAUAUGCAUGGUCGUGUGUGUGUUUUUUGUUGUUUUUUUUUUUUUUUUUUUUACAGAGCUCUGGCCCAGCCAGUUUGAAAUUUUCCAGUUUUUUUUUUUACAUUUCUCUGUUUAUGAAGGAAGAGUUAACUUUUAAAAAAAAAAUCCUCCUGAUUUUUUCGUCUGGUUUGAUUUUUUUUUUUUUUCUUUUUUACCCCCCCCUUCAAGAACUCCAAAAAUCCAGGGUGUCAAGUGAUGCUGAAGACUCAGCCCAUGGAAUUAAUUCUCAGUAAAGUCCUUUCUGCCAAGGAAAACCCUCAGCUUUUAUUCACCCUACACCAGAGUCCAGUGCUUUGUCCCCUGUCAGAGCAGGGGAGGGGGUGACACUUGUCCCUCUGUCUGUCCCUCGUGCUGGGGGUGGCACCAGGACAGGCUCAGGCUCUACCCAGCCAGGGCUCUGUGUGUUGCAGUAGCUGAGUUGCAAAUCCAUGCAGUGCUUAGUGAGAAAAUAGCUCUGCUCAAACCCCCCCUUCCCCCCAGAAAAAAAAAAAAAAAAMCYYCCCCYKKKGRRSYKSYYYYCMRSCCMAAAAAWGGGGAUUUUUUAAUUUUUAUUWUAAGUGUCGGGGCUGGGGUGAAAAGCCAGGAGGUUGUCACUGAUCUGCCCAAAGGUUUGGUGCCCAGGAAAGUCUCCUGAAUGUUUUUCUGUGCCCCCUGAACAUGCAAACCCUGGAGCUCCUGCAGAGCCAGGCACAGGCAGGGGCAGUGCCAGGGCUUGGGGGGAAAGGCCAGCAGGACUCUGAAGCAGCAGGGACAGCCUGGAUUGUCGUGUGGAAAAGGAGAGAGAGAGAAAAAUCGUGGUCCUGCCUGCUCCCUGUGGGCUGAGAACACUGAAAACACCAAAAACACCAAAAACACCCCUCCCAGCUCAAUCCUGCACCCAAGGCAGGGUGAGAGGCUCCAAAGGUCAGCUGGGAGGAGGAUUUGGGAGGAAACACCACCAGGAGCAUCCCCAGGGGCUCCUCUGUGCAGGGAUGGGCUCUCCAAGGAGCUUUUCCCCCCAUCCCAGCUGGGGAGGAGGGUUUGGGGUGCCCAAGCCCUGCAGGGACACCACAGGUGGGAUUUGCAGA
rnacentral:lncRNA from 1 species